rnacentral:rRNA from 1 species
CCUACGGGAGGCAGCAGUGAGGCAUAUUGGUCAAUGGGCGCGAGCCUGAACCAGCCAAGUCGCGUGAGGGAAGACGGUCCUAUGGAUUGUAAACCUCUUUUGUCGGGGAGCAAAAGACGCCACGCGUGGCGUUCCGAGAGUACCCGAAGAAAAAGCAUCGGCUAACUCCGUGCAAGCAGCCGCGGUAAUACGGAGGAUGCGAGCGUUAUCCGGAUUUAUUGGGGUUAAAGGGGGCGCAGGCGGAAGAUCAAGUCAGCGGUAAAAUUGGGAGGCUCAACCUCUUCGAGCCGUUGAAACUGGUUUUCUUGAGUGAGUGAGAAGUAUGCGGAAUGCGUGGUGUAGCGGUGAAAUGCAUAGAUAUCACGCAGAACGCCGAUUGCGAAGGCAGCAUACCGGCGCUCAACUGACGCUCAUGCACGAAAGUGUGGGUAGCGAACAGGAUUAGAUACCCUUGUAGUC